GAUGAACGCUGGCGGCGUGCCUAACACAUGCAAGUCGAGCGAUUCUCUUCGGAGAAGAGCGGCGGACGGGUGAGUAACGCGUGGGUAACCUGCCCUGUACACACGGAUAACAUACCGAAAGGUAUGCUAAUACGGGAUAACGUAAGAAAUUCGCAUGUUCUUCUUAUCAAAGCUCCGGCGGUACAGGAUGGACCCGCGUCUGAUUAGCUAGUUGGUGAGGUAAUGGCUCACCAAGGCAACGAUCAGUAGCCGACCUGAGAGGGUGAUCGGCCACAAUGGAACUGGGACACGGUCCAAACUCCUACGGGAGGCAGCAGUGGGGAAUAUUGCACAAUGGGCGAAAGCGUGAUGCAGCAACGCCGCGUGAGCGAUGAAGGCCUUCGGGUCGUAAAGCUCUGUCCCCAAGGAAGAUAAUGACGGUACUUGAGGAGGAAGCCCCGGCUAACUACGUGCCAGCCGCCGCCGUAA
rnacentral:rRNA from 1 species